rnacentral:rRNA from 1 species
UUUGAUUCUGGCUCAGGACGAACGCUGGCGGCGUGCCUAAUACAUGCAAGUCGAGCGGACAGAUGGGAGCUUGCUCCCUGAUGUUAGCGGCGGACGGGUGAGUAACACGUGGGUAACCUGCCUGUAAGACUGGGAUAACUCCGGGAAACCGGGGCUAAUACCGGAUGGUUGUCUGAACCGCAUGGUUCAGACAUAAAAGGUGGCUUCGGCUACCACUUACAGAUGGACCCGCGGCGCAUUAGCUAGUUGGUGAGGUAACGGCUCACCAAGGCGACGAUGCGUAGCCGACCUGAGAGGGUGAUCGGCCACACUGGGACUGAGACACGGCCCAGACUCCUACGGGAGGCAGCAGUAGGGAAUCUUCCGCAAUGGACGAAAGUCUGACGGAGCAACGCCGCGUGAGUGAUGAAGGUUUUCGGAUCGUAAAGCUCUGUUGUUAGGGGAAAGGAACAAGUGCCGUUCAAAUAAGGGCGGCACCUUGACGGAACCGAACCAG